rnacentral:lncRNA from 1 species
CAAAUCUCCUAUGCCAAAACAUUUAAUCCAUAACUCUUCAAAGUAGCUUCAGGAAGAUUCUCUGGACAAGGAGAGAAUGCAGUCACAUUCCUUACCAAAAUAUCACAAGUCUGGUCUCUAGGAGACAAAUUCUCCUCCUCUUCCUCUUCCUCCUCCUCCUUUUUUUCUAAAAUCUCUUGAUCUAGGCCUACACAGUUCAAAUCACCAUCAGCAUCAUUGUGUUUAAUGUUCCUAAGAGUAUGUCCCAUUAAGACCCACUUAAAGCAUUCAGCUACUUUUGUAGUUCAAAUUUCCAAAGACUUCCAUAUUUUCCCAAACAGAAGUAUAUGCUGG